rnacentral:rRNA from 1 species
AUUGAACGCUGGCGGCAUGCCUUACACAUGCAAGUCGAACGGCAGCGGACCUUCGGGUGCCGGCGAGUGGCGAACGGGUGAGUAAUGCAUCGGAACGUACCUUUCAGUGGGGGAUAACGUAGCGAAAGUUACGCUAAUACCGCAUAUUCUGUGAGCAGGAAAGCAGGGGAUCGAAAGACCUUGCGCUGAUUGAGCGGCCGAUGUCAGAUUAGCUAGUUGGUGAGGUAAAGGCUCACCAAGGCGACGAUCUGUAGCGGGUCUGAGAGGAUGAUCCGCCACGCUGGAACUGAGCCACGGUCCAGACUCCUACGGGAGGGAGCAGUGGGGAAUUUUGGACAAUGGGGGCAACCCUGAUCCAGCCAUGCCGCGUGAGUGAAGGAGGCCUUCGGGUUGUAAAGCUCUUUCGGCCGGGAAGAAAUCGCACGGGCUAAUACCCUGUGUGGAUGACGGUACCGGAAUAAGAAGCACCGGCUAACUACGUGCCAGCCGCCGCGGUAACAC